UAGGGAAUCUUCCGCAAUGGACGCAAGUCUGACGGAGCAACGCCGCGUGAGUGAAGAAGGAUUUCGGUUCGUAAAACUCUGUUGUUAGAGAAGAACAGCGCAUAGAGUAACUGUUAUGCGUGUGACGGUAUCUAACCAGAAAGCCACGGCUAACUACGUGCCAGCAGCCGCGGUAAUACGUAGGUGGCAAGCGUUGUCCGGAUUUAUUGGGCGUAAAGCGAGCGCAGGCGGUCAAUUAAGUCUGAUGUGAAAGCCCCCGGCUCAACCGGGGAGGGUCAUUGGAAACUGGUUGACUUGAGUGCAGAAGAGGAGAGUGGAAUUACAUGUGUAGCGGUGAAAUGCGUAGAUAUAUGGAGGAAAACCAGUGGCGAAGGGGACUAUCUGGUCUGUAACUGACGCUGAGGCUAGAAAGCGUGGGUAGCAAACAGG
rnacentral:rRNA from 1 species